rnacentral:rRNA from 1 species
CACGUAUGGGGCGAGCGUUGUUCGGAAUUAUUGGGCGUAAAGGGCAUGCAGGCGGUUAUACAAGUCUGGUGUGCAAGACCAAGGCUCAACUUUGGGAACGCACUGGAAACUGUAUGACUAGAAUACAGGAAGGGGAGCUGGAAUUCCAGGUGUAGGGGUGAAAUCUGUAGAUAUCUGGAAGAACAUCUGUGGCGAAGGCGAGCUCCUGGCCAUGUAUUGACGCUGAGAUGCGAAAGUGUGGGGAGCGAACAGG